GAUUUUUAUACCUUGGUAUUAAAAAAAAAUGUUAGCCAAGGUUUUGAACACAGUAAAAGUGAAUCAUUAAAUUUGUCAAAAAAGGAAAAAUGCUACUUUAGCUUUAUGAACAAGAUACUACUCAGAGUCAAUGAGUUAUUAUCCAGCAAUAUUCCAUAAAAAAUGUGUUCUAUUUAAGCUGACAUUUUUCCUGAUCUGUCCUUUAACAUUUGUUCACUAAUAAUAUUUUUAUAUCACCUUUGCUUACAAGUGUAGCUCAAAUUGCUCUACAAAAAUAUACAGUUACAAAGAAAAUUGAAGGCAUUAUAAAAGUAAAUAAGAAGCAAAUGGAGGGAUCCUUGUCCUUUGUAAUAAAUACACUGCCUGGUCAAAUGGCCAGGAACAAAGACAAACUUGCAGCUUUCAAGGAUGCUGGAGAUAA